UUGGCCCCGCCCACUGCAGGCAUCCCUUUAUGCGCCUGCGCGGCCUGCUCCCUAUGAGAGUGAACGUGGUCCCGCCCACGACAGGCAUCCCUCUCCCUCCCUUCUGCGCCUGCGCGGCCUCCUCGGCGUCACCGGAAGCUCCGUCACAGGGCGGCAAGAUGGCGGCCCGGCCCGGUCAGAGGCGUUCGGGGCGGCGUUUCCACGGUGACCCGGGUCCGUCGAGGCUUCGUCGCCAAGGCCCGGGAGGAGGAGGAAGGGCGCCGGGAGCGUGGCCUUCCAAACCGAGCCGGGGUUGGGCGUGAGGCCGCGCCUGCCUCCCUUCCCUGCCCGGACGUUUGCAGGCCAAGGCGGGGAAGGAAUCCCAGGCAGGAAAACCCCCUUGGCCUGCGCGCCCUCCCUGCCUGCCGGAGUUUGGGACUCUUCCCAACCCGUAGGCUGGCUGCUAGGCAUUGUGGGAGUUGGAGUCCCAAGUUCGCCCAGGCCUCUUCUUUUUUCCUGACCUUUUUUUAAAAAAAUUAUGUAUCAAAAAAAGUUUUCAAUAAAAAUGAUUAAAAAAAAAUAAAUGGAGCAAGGAUGGUAAUCGCAAAACAAUGGAAAAGUGAGAAAGCCCCAUCGAAAGAUGCCUGGCUGACCAAAUGGACUGAAAUAAAGGAUAUGGACAAACUUACCUUCUGAAUGAGAAAGAGCAACGGAAGAGCUAUAAGAGCCACGGACUGGUCAAACUUUGAAGACUACCUUGUUACUUCAGAGAAGGGAACCAGCAAGGUUGUAUUCAGAUUUUCUGGGAAGUUGUAGUUUAGGUAAACAUAAUGAAGAUUUUACUGAUUGCAGUACAGUCUCCUUAUCUAUAGAUUUGAUAUGCAUGGUUUUACUUACUGUAGUAAACUCUCCCCUCCAAAGUGUUUGUAGGCCUCUCUAUGUUCUUCACUGCAAUUCUGUGAUAUGUUUCUGGCCCAAAUAUCAGCGAAAUAUAAGGUUUACUUGCAUCCAUGGGGAUCUUAGAAUGGGAGGUAUAUGUAAUAGUUUAACCCUUAAGCUCUUCCUCAUUAAAAAAAUUGCAGGAAAGUCUAGUUAUUUUUCCCCCUCCACAAAUGUCUUGCAGGCAUUACAUUUUUUGUUCUUUUUAAAAUGUAAUACAAUGGUAUAAUUUCCCCCCCCCUCCCAAGCACAUCUUCUCUGUUGGUUUCUUCUUUUCUGGGUAGGAGAUAUUACUUUUUGGAGCCAACCCGGGAUUUUAUCAGUAUAUUUAUUGUAUGUGACCUCAUUUGUUUUAUGAUUUGUUUUAUUGUUGAUUGACUUGUUUUAUUGAUAUGUUUUUAUAUUGUCUGAUAUCUGGGCUUGGCCCCAUGUAAGCCGCCCUGAGUCCCUUCGGGGAGAUGGGGCGGGGUAUAAAACUAAAAUUAUUAUUAUUAUUAUUAUUAUUAUUAUUAUUAUUAUUAUUAUUACCUUAAGAAAAGAUGAUAAGAACUAUCUAAAUGGAACAUAAAUGAUUAGUGACAAAGAUCGGAAGUCAAUCCCCCCCCCCAUUGCUAGUGUCUAUCCCCUCUCACAAUCCCUAAUCCAGACACACUUGCCCUGCCCCUGCCCUCCCUUCCCUGUUCCCCUGCCGUAUGUCGUCUUAUGUUUUAUGUUUGAUGUUUUAAAAGAAACUUCUCAAUAAAAAUGAUACAAAAAAUAAAAUAAAAAAAUAAACUUAACCAAACCUGGCUGUUUAAACAAAAUCAAAUAAACAUGUCAUCCAUAAAUCAAAAUAAAAACACACACUUCUUUACACCAACUUUGGUUGCAAAUGUAUGCAAUUUCCUUGAGAAACCUCUUCCUUCCUUCCCAGGCACCAUUUCUUAAACCCAGAAAGGGAAAACACACGUAGGAGCCGCCUGAAUUCUCACUUCUCUGUCCUUACGGCUGAGUUACAACUCGCUGAGCUUGUUUUGAUUCUGUUUCUAUACAAAACGGUGGCUCCCAUCAUGAAAUCAAUAAAGUUUAUUAUUUCACGACG